rnacentral:rRNA from 1 species
ACUAGGGAUCGGGCCAUGUCAUCUUUUGACUGGCUCGGCACCUUACGAGAAAUCAAAGUCUUUGGUUCUGGGGGGAGUAUGUCCCAAGGCUGAAACUUAAAGGAAUUGACGGAAGGGCACCACCAGGCUUGGAGCCUGCGGCUUAAUUUGACUCAACACGGGGAAACUCACCAGGUCCAGACAUAGUAAGGAUUGACAGAUUGAUAGCUCUUUCUUGAUUCUAUGG